rnacentral:tRNA from 1 species
CCCUGGAGGACUAGUGGUUAGACCAUGGUGCUCUCACUGCCCUGGCCCGGGUUCGAUUCCCGGCAAGGAA